rnacentral:lncRNA from 1 species
AUAGUAGACAUGAAUAAAUAAACUAUCAAACCAAACAAUGUGGUCAAGAGUAUUGUAUUAGAGAAAGACCAUAUUGCAUUUGUAAUCCCAAACUGAAUAGGUUUUCUCUACCUCUUCUGAUUAGCUUGGGUAACCAUGAUAUGCUGCAAGGUGUCACUCUUGGUUUGUGGAAGCCCUAAACGUGUGUAAUCACUAAAGGGAGAAUUGAAAGUAAGUUUCAAUUCACAAUCGAUGUAAAAUGGUUUUAAUCGCCCACUGCCUCGCUAAAAGGAACCUAAUGGACCGCACACCGUGUAAGGUGGAGAUUGAAGAAACAAUGGAGAUGAGUAAGAAUGAUUAAAUGGUUUAAUCAUUUAUUUAUGGCAAUGAUUAAUUAAUAUGUUAAUUAAUCAAACGAAUAAGUUCGUUAAAGUCCUCGGGAUAGUUUUGGACCUUAAGGCCCAAUGGGCUUCGAACGUCAAGCCCAUUAACUUAAGUUGUAUGACAACUUAAUGAAUAAUGAUUCACAAAGGCCCAAUUAGUCCAAAAUAUCCUAAUGGCCGGCCAUAUUGUUUAGGGCAGUGAACUUGGACUUAUUUACAAGUUUGCCACUCAAAUGAAUAAAGGUAUAAAUAUGACUUUAUAGCCAAAAUUCAUUAGGGUUUCUUUUGGAGAAAAUUGGUGAGAACUUGUCUCUCCAUUUCUCUCUAAAGAGGCCGGCCACCUUG